rnacentral:misc_RNA from 2 species
AACGCAUCUUGCGCUCCUUGGUAUUCCGAGGAGCAUGCCUGUUUGAGUGUCGUGAAGUCUAUCGAUCCGUGGCCCUUUGUAAUCGGGGGGCCGGUGGGUCGGAUUUGGACGCUGCCGUCCUUCGUGGACGGCUCGUCUCGAAAUGCAUUAGCUGUUCCCAUCCACAGACAACGGUGUGAUAAGAAACUCGCUGGCGUCGGUGGUAACGAAAUGGGUCGGCUCACAGUCGUCUUCGGACAAAACAUCAUCAUAUGACCUCAAAUCAGGUAGGACUACCCGCUGAACUUAA